rnacentral:rRNA from 1 species
CAGCCCUACGGGGCGCAGCAGUGGGGGAUAUUGCACAAUGGGGGGAACCCUGACGCAGCGACGCCGCGUGGGUGAAGGAGCGUUUCGGCGCGUAAAGCCCUAUCGGCAGGGAAGAAGAUGACGGUACCUGACCAAGAAGCCCCGGCUAACUACGUGCCAGCAGCCGCGGUAAUACGUAGGGGGCAAGCGUUAUCCGGAUUUACUGGGUGUAAAGGGGGCGCAGACGGCAAUGCAAGCCCGGAGUGAAAGCCCCGGGCCCAACCCCGGGACUGCUCUUUGAACUGCCUGGCUG